rnacentral:rRNA from 1 species
GCAGCCGCGGUAAUACGGAGGAUCCGAGCGUUAUCCGGAUUUAUUGGGUUUAAAGGGUGCGUAGGCGGGAGAUCAAGUCAGUGGUGAAAUGGUGUGGCUCAACCAUAGCAUUGCCGUUGAAACUGGUUUUCUUGAGUGUAAAUGAGGUAGGCGGAAUGUGUCGUGUAGCGGUGAAAUGCAUAGAUAUGACACAGAACUCCAAUUGCGAAGGCAGCUUACUGGGAUACAACUGACGCUGAGGCACGAAAGCGUGGGGAUCAAACAGGAUUAGAUACCCC